CCUACGAGUAGCAGCAGUGAGGAAUAUUGGUCAAUGGACGCGAGUCUGAACCAGCCAAGUAGCGUUAAGGAUGACUGCCCUAUGGGUUGUAAACUUCUUUUAUAUGGGAAUAAACUGUUCCACGUGUGGGUUUUUGUAUGUACCUUAUGAAUAAGGAUCGGCUAACUCCGUGCCAGCAGCCGCGGUAAUACGGGGGAUCCGAGCGUUAUCCGGAUUUAUUGGGUUUAAAGGGAGCGUAGGUGGUUUGUUAAUUCAGUUGUGAAAGUUUGUGGCUCAACCGUAAAAUUGCAGUUGUAACUGCCAGUCUUGAGUACAGUAGGGGUGGGCGGAAUUCGGGGUGUAGCGGUGAA
rnacentral:rRNA from 1 species